rnacentral:rRNA from 1 species
UACAGAGGUCUCAAGCGUUGUUCGGAAUCAUUGGGCGUAAAGGGCGCGUAGGUGGCGCGCUAAGUCGGGUGUGAAAUUUCGGAGCUUAACUCCGAAACUGCAUUCGAUACUGGCGUGCUUGAGGACUGGAGAGGAGACUGGAAUUCAUGGUGUAGCAGUGAAAUGCGUAGAGAUCAUGAGGAAGACCAGUGGCGAAGGCGGGUCUCUGGACAGUUCCUGACACUGAGACACGAAGGCCAGGGGAGCAAACGGG